rnacentral:tRNA from 1 species
UCCCUGGUGGCUCAGAUGGUAAAGCAUCUGUCUACAAUGUGGAAGACCCGGGUUCGAUCCCUGGGUUGGGAA